GAUGAAAGCUCAUAUGAACUCACAGAGACUGAAGCAGCAAGCACAAGGCCUGCACAGAAUGUUCCCUUUUGAGACUCAACCACCGUGCUGAGAGAGAGCAAAGUCAAGCAGACAGACCACACCGAUAGAGAAUCCAAAGUUCUGGUCAACUUCCCACUCAAGGUUUCUACCAAACACCUUCAUCAAUCAGUAGCCGUGUAACUAUGCCAUCUUGGUUAUUCUAGUGUUCUCAUGCAUCCAGGUAACUGUUGCCCCAACUGACACCAUAAGCAAAAGAAAUCAUCCAGCUGAAUUCAUUCACCCAUUGUGAAUCAUGACCAGUAAAAUUGUGUUUGGAGCCAUUACGUUCUUGAGCGGCUCAAGUACUAGAAGGGGACUGGAACUAGAAUGCACAAAGUCAUAUGCAAAUGAGGAUCUGCUGGAAGAACAGAAUUGCCUUGGAGGAAUGUGCUUUUUCCCUAUAGUCUCUGCACGGAGUCACAUUACAAUAAUGACUUGCUUUCUGCCUCAGAACACAUUUGCUACCACCGGGACAUGCACAAACUCAAGAUGCACAUCCCCACCCCAGGAUCUGAGGAGGAGGCCUCCUGAUGAAUUGUGACUUCAGGCUGAACCUUAAAAAUCAUUUCUACUUUAGAGGUACCUUCAUUUAAAAACCAUCACCCUGACACUCAGGAAUUAGAAUUCUCCCUCACCCUUCAUGCACAGUUUUUUUUCCUCUUUGAAGGAGAUGCUGUGCAUGCCUUUCAGGUUAAUAUGAAAGAAGCUUGAAGAUGCAAAUGAACUGAGUAACCAUGACAACAAUGAAAGGAAGAAAACAAAACAAUUAUGCCUAUGCAAAUUCUUUCCUGAACUAGCAAGGUGAGAGAGAGCAUAGCUGUCAGCAAUAAUACCCAGUGGCCAAUGACAAAUGCACAAUGAUUUAAGGCCCAUGGAGUCUGUAGAGGUAGCUAUGAUUUAGGGGAGGGCAUCUAGACCUACACACAUAUACAAGCUCUGUCCCUGAUCACAAUUUGUGUGUGUGUGUGUGUGUGUGUGUGUGUGUGUGUGUGUGUUAUAUUUUACUGAAUUCUCUUUGGACCAGGCCUUCUGGGACCUUAGAAACUAUCUGUAUUGAAGCCCUUAUUCAUCAAAUUUCUAACUGUAAUGUGAAAGUGAUUUCCUUGGACAGUUCACUGAAAUGCAGAUUCUGAUUCAGUAGGGCUAGAGUGGGUUCACCAGACCUCUGCAUUUCUAACAAGUUCCAACAUGGACCAUGCCUUGAAAAGGCAAAUCACAAUGUCAAGACCAUGGAUUCUUCAUUCAUACCACCUGGGUUCAAAUCCUGCCUCCAUAUGACAACCCUGUGAACUUCGUCAAGUUUUCUGGAUUUUCUGUACCCUCUACUCAUAAAGAUGAAGAAAAUAGCAAAGUGACUACAUCUAAGAUUUCUCAGGUGGCUUAACUAAGCUUAUGUAUUUAAAAUGUUUUAAGUAGCAUCUGACAUGUCAUAAAGCACUCAGUACUAACCACUGUAAUCUUCUUAUAUCUUACUUGCCUCUUGAACAUUUCUGUAUAGUUGCAACUGUGUUAUUAUGUGCUUAACCUUGAUCAUAGAUAUGAGUUCUCACAUAUAGGUCCCCUUCUUACAGUGAAAACAAUGAGAUUUAGUACAGUCACAGACUUAGUGAAAGUAGGUGUCUGAUUCCAGAUCCCAGACCUUUGCUGUGAAUGUCAAAAGGGAAGGAAAUACCACAAAUCAAGAUUCUAUUCCCAGGGGGGCUAAGUACAUAAACAGUAUGCAGUAGAUGCUUAAAAUUUUUUCACUGAAUGACUUAAUCUAAUCAGCAUUUCGCCCAGAAUUUACAGACAAAUGAAUUGAACUUCAAAAGAAUUUUUAAACUGUCCCAAUUACACCCAAAAUGGAAAAGCUGGAACAGAAACCCAGAUCCUUCUUGUGUAAGGGCUGUUUUCAUUACAAAACUGAUCUACACUUUACCUACCAAGAGAUGAAAGUAGUAGGAAUAUUGGUAAGCAAACAUUUGAAAAACUACAGCAGGGGCUGCUUGGGUUGUGUUGAGGCAAAGAGACAAAGGGAAACCAAAAUUAAUGCAUUUUCUCACAUCAAACUUAUGUGAGACAAUCUCCCUCUUCUGUCUGGGACUCUGGGACUCCUAAUCACUCUCUCCAUGCUUCUUUGCACUUUCACCAAGUGAGUUAAUGGAAACUUCUCCAACGGUCCUAUUCAAUCUUUGUAGAUAUCUCAGCUUCAGUGUUUCUUAGGGUGGGGAUUUCCAGGGUAGUCUAGGAUUGGUGAUAUUUUGUGGCCUGACCUUGUGGCAAACUCAGAGAUUGGUGGAAUUCUAUGAUCUAAUUUUGGGACAACCUCAGGGAUUUGGGGGAUUUUGAACUCAGAAAAUGGUGGGAUUCUGUGGCCUGAUCUUGGGUUUUCUUUUUGGUAGGGGGAAGCUUGGCUGCCUGUAUCUUGUGGGGCUAGAAAUGGCUACUAUGGCUGUUAGAGUAGUCUGUGGGGCAGGCACUGGCCACUCUUGUACCUCAAGGGGCUUACACUGAUAAGGAGAAUAGGAAAGAGUGAAUGCAAUUCAGAAAAAGGAAAGCAGCCAACAGUCCCAUAUAUUAUUGAGCAUUUUGCCCAGACUAGAAAAUUGGGAAUUAAUCUCAUGGUAAAAACAAGUUCCACAGAUAUGGACAUGGAACCAGUAGAAUCCACUAAAAAGUGAGAUCUCGUUUCUGGUUCCCAUGAUACAAGCUCAGUAAGAUGGCAAUUACAUGGAUAAAAAUAUUUCAUAAUUGAACUGGAGAGUUGGUUCAGUGAUUAAGAGCACUUCUUUCUCUUGCAGAGGACCCAAGUUCUAUUCCUAGCACCAACAUGGCAGCUCACAUCCAACUGGAACUCCAGUCCCAGGGGAUCUGGCUCCUACUUCUGACAUCUAUAGGUACACAUAUAUACAUGCAGGCAAAAUACUCUACACAGAAAAUAAAAAUAAAUAAGCAAUUUUGAAAAAUAUUUCCUACUUGUCCAACUGAGGUUAUUAGGGGAAGGCUAUGCAAAUACUGUGCUUUGACUAUGCAGUCAUUUCUAAAAGGGGAUCCAGGAGGAAGUGCAGCAUAUCUAUUGGCUUAGUGUAGCUAAAUAGUUGUCUGUGUCUGUUAGCCCUGAAUUCAUUGAACUGAAUUACUGAAUUUGGUGCUGAGAAAAGAGAUAAGAGCAUCUGUAUUUAGAGUAUGGAAGGGUGGUAAGAAGAGAAGGCUCAGGGGAGGCAUCCUAGAUGUGUGAUUAGAUUUGUACUUAAUCCCAGGAAGAAAAAAGCACAUGUAUUUUACUGUAAUUUCAGUGUGUCUUCCAGAAUCAGUGAGGUCAUGGAAACUGUAAUCUUUGCCAUGUGCUUUUGCAGCCACAGUUCUGCUAAUUAAACCAGGGUGGGGGCAAGGUCUUUGCUGAACAUUGCAAACAUGUGACCAUGUGAAAUCAUACUUGAGUCUGAGAAGGGGGGUUGCUCAAGAGUGUGUGAAGGCUGCCGAGGUUGUUUUUGCAUUCAAGGCUUAAGUCUGAAGCAAACAGUCCCCUGACAUCCCUUUUAUUUUUCAUCACACCUGGGCCUUAGAAGCCAUGCAUACCCCAGAUGGCAGAGUUACCGUAGAGAGCAAGAUAUGUUCCCACUAUGAAUCUGGUCUAUCAUCCUCAAUGACUAGAGGAAAAUCAUUCUAAGAGGUUUUUUUAAUGGGAUUUGGGGUCUACAGGACUUCUGGUAUUACUGCUAUUGUCAUUCAAGUUCUUAAAUUAAGGGACAGUGAUGCUUUCAUGGAAUUAUAUUACCGUAGUCCCUCAAGAAGCCACAGCAGACAUUCAUUAACAUUUAGGUCUCUAUGGGUAAAAUUAAAAUAUGAAAUAUGCUUUCAAGCCACCACAGAACUUUUUUGAGACAGGAUUUUUCUGUGUAGCCUUGGCUUUCCUAGCUCUGGAGACCAGGUUGGCCUUGAACUCACAGAGAUACACCUGCCUCUGACUACCAAGUGCUAGGAUUGAAGGCCUGUGCCACCACCACCUGCCAUCAUAUAAGUUAUAUUGCAAAGACAUUUAAAGAGCUUACAUCCAGAGUAGUCUUGUCUAACCUUUGGCCUCCUCCAUGCCACAUGUGUCCAGGAUAGCUAUGAAUGCAGAUAAGCACAGAGCUAUAAAUCUAGUUAAAAUAUUGAGAUAUUUUUGGCGAUUCCUUUUGUAACUCAAUUGUGUCAUUUUUUAGUUUAACAACCUCAUGUUCCAAUGCCAAAAGGUUGGCAACACCUGGUAGAGAAAGUAGAUUUGUUCUAUGUGUCUAUGAAAUCCUCAAUCACUUUCUCUGUGUCCCCUUCUUCUCAACUCUGGUUCUCCAUAUAGAAGAUGCCUUUAAAACAUUGAGUGGUUCUGUGUAUAUUUGCAUAACAGCAGUCCUUGCUAUAAAAAUAAAUCCUGAAUAGAUUACUCUAUUGUAUAUACAUGUGGGCAUACAUGUCACAUACACUGAUUUAUUUUUCCAAGAACAAAUGUCUUAAUGUUUCUUUUCCUUGAGAAAAAUCACCGACUGCCAAAUCUUAAAUUCCAUGUAGAGCUUUGCAAUAACAGAGAAAUGAAAUAUAGUGAGGAGUCAGAUAUUUGUUUCAAAUAGCCCCAAAUGUCCAAAGACUUCAUAAGCCAAGUAGAAGGCUAUUCUUGGAAUGGCUUUGUCCUCUAUGGCAGGGAACAUUCCUUAGGGCACCAAUCAGUGAUGUAGCAACCUAAGCUUAACCUUUCCCUGAGGCAAAGGGCUAUAUCCACAGGGCUACAGAACUAGGGAGAAACACAGCCUUGGUAUGCCAUUGCCAUGAGUUCAAAUCCAAGCUCUGCUCCUUACUUGAGUAUUUUCUAAAUGUCUCAGAGUCUGUUUCCUCCUCUAUAACAUGGAGCUACCACCCCUUUCAUGAUGUCAUCAUCAUGUGAAAGUGCUUGAAACAAAAUAGGUGUCAAGAAUUGAAAGUGUCUAAGAUUAUACCCUAACUGAAAGCAAACAAAUCAGACUAUCAGUCUUAUAUACACUGAAACCUAGCAAUAAUAAAUGGAGGCCAGUUUAAUACUCACAAAAUAGUCACAACUACACAACUAUAUUCUUAGCAUUUUUGCAUGUUUUCUGGGUCCCAGUUUCCACAGGGUUAUCCAAAGAGGGCCAGGAAGAAUCUCUGAUAUUAAGACAAUGGACAGAAGUAAAUGUUCCAAAGAAGUGUUGCUUUUAUGAGCGUAAACAGUUAAGCCAACUAGCCUUUUGCUCUGGAGUUGCUCUAUUGUCUACUUCCCAUGUCUGUUUGCUACAUAACAUCCUUGGAAAAGCAGCCCAAAAUAAAAGCAGUUGAGUGCA